GCAUUGGUGGUUCAGUGGUAGAAUUCUUGCCUUCCAUGCAGGAGACCUGGGUUUGAUUCCUGGACAAUGCA
rnacentral:tRNA from 1 species